AGAGAGAGAGAACCCGGCAGGCUUAUUUCAACAAACAAAUCAAAGCACACCUGGUUAAAAGUCCUAACACUCCCCAUUGCAAGCAAGGAGGAGGUUUACAGAGGACAGACCAGUGGUAAAGAGCAGCCAAAAUGCAAUAGCAGAGUGCAAACGGCAUGCGCCAGAAAGACUUCCUGAAGUGCCAGGCUCUGGACAGUGUAUGACCACUUUUUAAUAUUGCAUUACUCUCAGGUGCAAGAAAUGUAACAAGCUUUCAAAACAUACAAAAGACAGAAACUUAGCCAAAAUGACAAUAAGGAGGAAUUCUCCCCAAAAGAAAGGUCAAGAAAGUCACAACCAGGAACUUGGUCAAAACAGAUACAAGCAAAAUAC